AUGAUAGAAAUGAAUGAAGAGUUGAGAAGAAACAGACAAGAAAUUGUGACUGGAUUGAACAUGUUCUUGGAAGAAAAUGGUGUCAGAAGAAAAGAAAACCUUUUGAAACUGAUUCUGCCUAGAAACACUACCCCUCAAAUCAUCUACAUGCAGCUGAAGGGAAAGUUCCCUCUAAUUUUCUUUAUCCCACUCUCUAUUGCCUCUUCUUACCCCACUUCAAGAUUCUUAACAUUCUUUCAAACUGUGAAUGCUGGAAGUUGCUGUGAUGAUCUGGGGUAUGUAGCUCCCAAAGAGAACAUGUCAUAGCUACUCUCUCUACCUUUUCAAAGUAUGAAAAAAGAACUGAAAAAACCAGGCUUCACUACUCAAAAAAAAUCAAGCAGCCCUAGCAAGUCAUGGAAGAGGAAAAAUGCCGCUGGGUCUGAUCUCAUAACUGAGUUCUGUAAGACCCUUGAGAUCUACUUUGUCAAGUUUUAAAUAGUGUAUGACGAAAGGUGAAAUGAGCAGUUGUUAUUCAGUUAUGUUUGACCCUUUGUGACCCCAUUUGGAGUUUUCUUGGCAAAGAUAUUGGAACAGUUUGCCAUUUCCUUCUCUGGCUUAUUUUAUAGAUGAGGAGCUGAGGCUAACAAGGUCAAGUGACUUACCCAGGGUCACACAGCUAGUAAGGAUCUUGAGGCUGGAUUUAAGCUCAUAAAGAUGACUCCAGGCCUGGUACUUUAACCACUGUGCCACCUAGCUGCCCUGAAAUGAACAGCACGAUGGAUCAAAGAGUACUGAUUUUGUUUUUAAAAGAAGAAAGAAGAGGUGCCAU
rnacentral:lncRNA from 1 species